UACGUAAGUGGCGAGCGUUAUCCGGAAUUACUGGGCGUAAAGCGUGUGUAGGCGGUUUAGUGUGUGGGAAUUGAAAGCCCGGGGCUCAACUCCGGAUCCGGUUCCCAAACUGCUAGACUCGAGAGUAUCAGAGGAGAGCGGAAUUCCCGGUGUAGCGGUAAUAUGCGUAGAUAUCGGGAGGAACACCUGUGGCGAAAGCGGCCCACUGGACCGCAACUGACGCUGAGGUGCGAAAGCGUGGGGAGCAAACAGG
rnacentral:rRNA from 1 species